AACGCACCUUGCGCUCCUUGGUAUUCCGAGGAGCAUGCCUGUUUGAGUGUCAUUAAAUUCUCAACCCCUCCAGCUUUUGUGGCUGGUCGUGGCUUGGAUAUGGGAGUUUUGCUGGUCUCAUUUCGAGAUCAGCUCUCCUGAAAUGCAUUAGUGGAACCGUUUGCGAUCCGUCACCGGUGUGAUAAUUAUCUACGCCAUAGACUGUGAACGCUCUCUGUAUUGUUCUGCUUCUAACUGUCCUGUAAAAGGACAACGAUAUUGAACUUUUGACCUCAAAUCAGGUAGGACUACCCGCUGAACUUAA
rnacentral:misc_RNA from 1 species